rnacentral:rRNA from 1 species
UACGUAGGGUGCAAGCGUUGUCCGGAAUUAUUGGGCGUAAAGAGCUCGUAGGCGGUCUGUCGCGUCUGCUGUGAAAACGCGAGGCUCAACCUCGCGCCUGCAGUGGGUACGGGCAGACUAGAGUGCGGUAGGGGAGAUUGGAAUUCCUGGUGUAGCGGUGGAAUGCGCAGAUAUCAGGAGGAACACCGAUGGCGAAGGCAGAUCUCUGGGCCGUAACUGACGCUGAGGAGCGAAAGCGUGGGGAGCGAACAGG